UACGGAGGGGGCUAGCGUUGUCCGGAAUUACUGGGCGUAAAGCGCACGUAGGCGGCUUUGUAAGUUAGAGGUGAAAGCCCGGGGCUCAACUCCGGAAUUGCCUUUAAGACUGCAUCGCUCGAAUUGUGGAGAGGUAAGUGGAAUUCCGAGUGUAGAGGUGAAAUUCGUAGAUAUUCGGAAGAACACCAGUGGCGAAGGCGACUUACUGGACACAUAUUGACGCUGAGGUGCGAAAGCGUGGGGAGCAAACAGG
rnacentral:rRNA from 1 species